AAACAGGCUCCAGGCUCCGAGCCAUCAGCCCAGAGCCUGACGUGGGGCUCGAACUCAUGGACCGCGAGAUCGUGACCUGGCUGAAGUCGGACGCUUAACCGACUGUGCCACCCAGGCGCCCCGCCAUCCGGUUUUCUUUAGCUCAGGUGCCUAUGAGUCCGGGGGAGCCCCCAAGGUUGGGGUGCUGAGUGGACAGUACCUCAGAAGGUCACACUGAACCAUGCCCUCUGGACUGUAGGGCACCUGCCUUCCAUAUCCUUCCUUAAGGGUUUCCAUCCCCCCAGAUCAGUGCAGAUACAGCAUAUAAUGCCUGCACCACCUCUGCCACUACUCCUAUCACUACUGCUGAUACGGGCUUGAUUGUGUCUCCCAACCUCUAGUACCACAGAAUAUGACUGUAUUUGGGAAGAGGAUCUUAAAGAGGUAAUCCAGUUAAAAUGAGGUCAUUGGGAUGGGGCCUGGUCCAAUGUGCUGGUGUCCUUACAAAAGGAAGAGACUAGGACAUCAGAGAAAGACCAUGUAACAACACAGGGAGAAGACAGCCAGCUACAAGGUGAGGAGAGGGGCCUCAGAAGAAAAUAACGCUGCCAAUACUUUGAUCUCAGACUAAGGGCCUCAAAAGCUAUGACAAAAUAAAUUCCUGCUGUUUAAGCCACCAGUCUGUGCCACUUUGUUAGGGCAGUCCCCAGAAAUAAAUACACCUGCCAACUAUGGCCAAGAUAGGGGCAGGGGACUUUUGAAAGAUGUAGAGGAAGAAGGGCAGAGAAACCCACAGGGAGAAAGGAGAGGAAAAGAGGUGGGUUACGUGGACCCUGGGGUGAGCAUGGUAAGGGAACCUUAAUGAAAUGGAAAUCUGGGCCCUGCUUUCCAGGUCGAAUGAAUGGUGAUGCUGACCAGAAACCCAAGAGAAGGUCCUUAGAAGCCAGAGGUCAGGGUUGAGGCACUGAGGCUGAGAAAGUAUGUGAGAAGAGAUGGGAAGAAAGGAUGGCGGGUACCCUCCAGCUGUGAAGAUGAGGGGAGCAGCUGGCCCAUGGGAACCAGAUUAUAUGCUCCCUGAGGGCCAGGAUUGGGCUUUGCUCUCUGGCCAGAGGAAGUGCUUAACGGAGCACCCAGGCCUCCUGGAGGAAUGACUAGAACUGGACCUGACCUGCCUGUGGGAUUUGAG